rnacentral:rRNA from 1 species
AGAGUUUGAUCAUGGCUCAGAACGAACGCUGGCGGCAGGCCUAACACAUGCAAGUCGAGCGCACCGCAAGGUGAGCGGCGAACGGGUUAGUAACGCGUGGGAAUCUACCCAUCUCUACGGAACAACUCCGGGAAACUGGAGCUAAUACCGUAUACGUCCUUCGGGAGAAAGAUUUAUCGGAGAUGGAUGAGCCCGCGUUGGAUUAGCUAGUUGGUGGGGUAAUGGCCUACCAAGGCGACGAUCCAUAGCUGGUCUGAGAGGAUGAUCAGCCACACUGGGACUGAGACACGGCCCAGACUCCUACGGGAGGCAGCAGUGGGGAAUAUUGGACAAUGGGCGAAAGCCUGAUCCAGCCAUGCCGCGUGAGUGAUGAAGGCCCUAGGGUUGUAAAGCUCUUUCACCGGUGAAGAUAAUGACGGUAACCGAGAAGAG